rnacentral:rRNA from 1 species
GUGCCAGCCGCCGCGGUAAGACGGAGGGUGCAAGCGUUGUUCGGAUUGACUGGGCGUAAAGGGCGUGUAGGCGGUUGGUCAAGUCUGAUGUGAAAGCCCGGGGCUCAGCCCCGGAAGGGCAUCGGAAACUAGCCAGCUGGAGCGCGAUAGAGGAGGGUGGAAUUCCUGGUGUAGCGGUGAAAUGCGUAGAUAUCAGGAGGAACACCGGCGGCGAAGGCGGCCCUCUGGAUCGUUGCUGACGCUGAGACGCGAAAGCGUGGGGAGCAAACAGGAUUAGAUACCCUCGUAGUCC